rnacentral:tmRNA from 1 species
GGCCUGCAUUUGGUUUCGACAGGAUGUUUGAAGUAUGAUAAGCAUGUCGUGGUUAUGCACGUUAAAACAUGAGGUUAUAAUAACCGGAAACACAAAUACAAACUACGCUUUUUGUUAAUUAAUAACAAAAAUCAUUCUCUUUCUUUUUAGCCUACGAAAAAGAUAGAGGAUCAGUAAAGUAGGCUAUUGAUGAAUAUACCUGCUUAGUAUAUGAUUCUAAAUUUAAAGCUAUAUAAUUAUUAUUUUUGUUUGUUUAUUAAUAAUUACGAAUAAUCAAAAUAAACUAAACAUGUAGAAAGUUGUAUGGAUGGUGUUUUGGACAGGAGUUCGACUCUCCUCAGGUCCACCA